CAGGGAGUAGUUUAUUUAAAAUAUCAAUUUUGGAGAUUGGAGAAGAAGAGUUCUUUUUCCCUGA
rnacentral:tRNA from 1 species